rnacentral:tRNA from 2 species
GGCCCCGUCGUCUAGUCAGGCCUAGGACACCAGGUUUUCAUCCUGGCGACCGGGGUUCAAAUCCCCGCGGGGUCACCA